rnacentral:rRNA from 1 species
UGAUUUUGGUUGGUUUGGCGAUUGAUCAGAUCGCACAAUCCGGGCUGAGUUCCCUUUCAGUGAUCUACUAUUCCGCGCAGCUAUUUAGUAGGUGGGGUAAUGGCUCACCUAGGCGACGAUCCCUAGCUGGUCUGAGAGGAUGACCAGCCACACUGGAACUGAGACACGGUCCAGACUCCUACGGGAGGCAGCAGUGGGGAAUAUUGCACAAUGGGCGCAAGCCUGAUGCAGCCAUGCCGCGUGUGUGAAGAAGGCCUUCGGGUUGUAAAGCACUUUCAGCGAGGAGGAAGGUGGUGAACUUAAUACGUUCAUCAAUUGACGUUACUCGCAGAAGAAGCACCGGCUAACUCCGUGCCAGCAGCCGCGGUAAUACGGAGGGUGCAAGCGUU